rnacentral:misc_RNA from 1 species
AGUGUCGAUAAUGGCCUGG